CUGUACGAUGACUAUUUUAAUUUUAAAAAACUGAAGAGUAACACUAGAUUUUAUUAUUAUUUAUUGAUGUGAAUAACAAUUAAUCCGAUUUUUAUUUGUUUUUUUUAAGUUACAACAGACAAUGGAAACAAAGUGUUGUGAUUUAUACAUACAAGAUAGAUUGUUAGGGCAAAAACAAUUAUUUUUUUUGUACGAAUGUCAUAUGUGUAUCUCAAAUUUUGUAAUUUAUUUAUUUUCAUCCGUUGAGUACCUACUGUUACUGUGACCACCUCUUACUUUUCCCAACACAGGAAUUGUGUAGUAGGUACCUAAAAUACCUUAUGUUUUAAAAUUUAUUUUGAAACAGUUGAUUAAGAUGAUAAAAAUAUAAAUUAAUAAACUAAUUUGAAUUAGAUUCCUAUAAAUAUUUUGAAG